ensembl:ncRNA C36E6.11 ncRNA
UAUCUGUUUGUGAAGAAACGACAAACGCAAAUAUCUACAGAGUUGCGGCAACGCAUGGGGGAGAGAAUUUUUGGAAAAGCCAACUGUUUGGCUUCGAAUAUUUUCUCAAGUACAUCUCUCUCAAAAGCAGGUAAAAGUUAAGGUGGUAG